rnacentral:rRNA from 1 species
GGAGAACUUGCCCUACGCUGGAGAAUAAUCUCGGGAAACUGAGGACAAUGCUCCAUAGCCUCGCCGUCCUGGAACGGUGGUGAGGUGAAAGCUCCGGCGGCGUAGGAUAGCUCUGCGGCCUAUCAGGUUGUAGCGAGGGUAACGUCCUCGCUAGCCUACGACGGGUAUGGGUGUUGGGAGACAUCGCCCAGAGAUGGAUUCUGAGACACGAAUCCAGGCCCUACGGGGCGCAGCAGGCGCGAAAACUGCACAAUGUGGGAAACCACGAUGCGGGAAACCCAAGUGCCAGCGCUAUGCGUUGGCUGUCCUCCAGUGUUCGUAACUGGGGAAGAAAGUGCUGGGUAAGACGGGUGCCAGCCGCCGCGGUAAUACCCGCAGCACAAGUGGUGGUCAUUAUUAUUGGGCCUAAAGCGUCCGUAGCUGGCUUGUUAGAUGCCUGGGUAAAUCGAUGCGCUCAACGUAUCGAACUCCGGGUAGACCGGCAAGCUUGGGACCGGGAGAGGCGUGAGCUACUCGAGGGGUAGGGGUAAAAUCCUGUAAUCCUUCGGGGAGGACCAGUGGCGAAGGCGUCACGCUAGAACGGCUCCGACAGUGAGGGACGAAGCCCUGGGGCGCAAACCGGAUUAGAUACCCGGGUAGUCCAGGGUGUAAACGCUGCAGACUUGGUGUCGGUGAUCCUACGAGGGUUGCCGGUGCCGUAGAGAAGUUGUUUAGUCUGCCGCCUGGGGAGUACGGUCGCAAGACUGAAACUUAA